ACUUCAUCUCUAGUUCUUGGACCUUUAAAUUUGUUGCUGUUUGUUAAUAUAUAAUAUGAAAAUGCUUUUUUAUUUAAGUGUUUUAAAAUUCCAGCAAAACCACUGACAGAAGCUAUCUAUGUUUUUCCCUAAUUUUGGUUUUCAGUAACACUGUAUCAUAUUUCUGAGUAGCUUCCCUUCUUCAAAAUUGUUGGCCCCUGAACUAUUUGUAACUUCUCAGGAUAAACGUUUGUCUAUCAUAUUAAAUGCUGCAAGUUUGAAUUCUUAACUGCCAUCCUCUCUGCGCUUUCAACAGAUAAAGCUGCUUCCUUAGGAGAUGUCUCAUUCUGGUCAAGCAUCUUAGAAUUUCGUCCUGCAGAAAUAGCAAUUGCUCCUAUUUUCUGAAGAGUUGGAAGUAAAUGUCUCAAGCACACAAGAACAACUCUUUUUUGCCAAGUCUCUUAAAGUCCAUAGUGUCUCUCCACCCUUUGGUGGACUCUCUUGUCGUUAUUAUUAUUUUUUUUUUAAUUUAUAGUAGUUUUAUAAGAAUGAAGAAGAUUACCGGGUUUUAAUUAAGCAAAUUUAGGUAUGGCUAUAGUGAUGGUUUUUACGUAAAUUAUUGGAUUCUGCUAUUUGACAUUCUUCAUAUGAAAUUUGAAAUAACACUUUUUUUAACAAACAUAGCCUUAUUUUCAAAAAACACUUAAGUAAAUGGUUAAAUUCCUUUUUUUUUUUUUUUUUUUUCCCCCCUUUUUUCUUUUGCCUAUGUGUUUAUGAGCUUUGCUAACGUGGGGAAUGUGAUGACAGUAUUAUUCAUAUAAUUUCUUUUGUCAGCUACACAGUUCUCCAUAUCUGUCUUGCAUCAAUCAUGCUAAGCCAAAAUCUGUGAUUUCUAAUAAGUAAAGUUCUUGACUGUACAAGAAGUUUUGCUCAAUUUAAGACCUGAAGCAUUUGGCCUGUAUUUUUUCCUGUAUUAAAGAACCUCAUCAUGUUUACAUGAA